rnacentral:rRNA from 1 species
UACGGAGGGCGCAAUCGUUGUUCGGAAUCACUGGGCGUAAAGCGCGUGUAGGCGGCGUGGCAAGUCGGGUGUGAAAUCCCGAGGCUCAACCCCAGAACUGCACUCGAAACUGCCUGGCUCGAGUGCCGGAGAGGGUGGCGGAAUUCCCGGUGUAGGGGUGAAAUUCGUAGAUAUCGGGAGGAACACCAGUGGCGAAGGCGGCCACCUGGACGGUUACUGACGCUGAGAUGCGAAAGCGUGGGGAGAAAACAGG